rfam:Rattus norvegicus chromosome 13, whole genome shotgun sequence.
GGGGAUUUAGCUCAGUGGUAGAGCGCUUGCCUAGGAAGCGCAAGGCCUGGGUUCGGUUCCCAGCUCCCA